UACAGAGGCCUCGAGCGUUAGGCGGAAUCACUGGGCUUAAAGCGUGUGUAGGCGGACUUCUAAGUGCCUUGUGAAAUCCCACGGCUCACCCGUGGAACUGCUGGGCAUACUGGGAGUCUUGAGCCACCUAGGGGCGAGCGGAACAAAUGGUGGAGCGGUGAAAUGCGUAGAUACCAGUUGGAACGCCAACGGAGAAAUCAGCUCGCUGGGGGUGUGCUGACGCUGAGACACGAAAGCCAGGGGAGCGAACGGG
rnacentral:rRNA from 1 species